CUCUCUAAUCCUUGGCUUCCGUCAUCGUCAAUUUGCAAACUCUUCGACAAAAAUAAAAAAAUUUUGCAAACUCUCUCUGUGCGCAGCGGAGAGCCCACCACGCAAUUAUGUCUCUCUUCAGUAAGCUUCGAACUCUUCAAACCUCACCAUCUCCUCUUUACAGCAACACAUUUCCCUCUUUUCUUUGCAUUUCUUCCACCAUAGCCCAACUCUCAAUGAUGCCACCUUCUUCAUCUUUUGAGAUGUUUGGUUACUGCUUUGGAUGUGGCAUUCAAUCGAACACUACAAGGGCAGAAGAUAGGAGGUACACGUGGACGACUGAGAUCAAAUAUCCAGAGAUGAAGUGGCUUGACCGAAAGUACGAAUUCUGACGGCUGAAAUUAAUGAAGGCUGAGAUGACUCGUGACUCGCGAGUGCAAGUUGAUGGCUCAGAUUGAGACCGCGGUGAAGACUGAACUGAUUCAAAUACAAUGGAUCGCUGAGGUUAAAGAUUAAGAACUCGAAAUGUGCAGCUUAACUGUGAUUCGAGGGCUCCAGGAAAGUUGAUGGAAAAAAACAAAAGAAGGCCACGCGUACGGUUAAUAUUCGAUAGCUGCUUGAUCGAGCAGCCAUCUAUCUGAGACUGAGGGGAGGGGGGGGAAUGUCAAAAAUAAAAGAAGCAAAAAGGGCACCUACCGUUGUAGAACCUACGGUUUGUCUGCGAAAGCCGCUCAGCCUGUCAUGAAACAGUGUCGUUUUUAGCCUAAACAAUGGAUCUUACUCGAAAAUUGUCUGUGCAUGUUGUUAGGAAGGCUUUCAACGGAACAGCACUGGCUGUGGGCCUGUGGCGAAGGCCAUGGAGAGGAAUGCUGCGCUGGUGAGUUAAAUGUUCUCAAAUGCUUAUUAAUUCUUCGAUCGCUGCUCGAACUGGCACUUGCCAAAGCCAAAUUAAAGGGAUAAUACAGCGUCUAACAACAACCCGCAUCGCCAGUGCACAUAGAGCCUGCGAUGCAGGGGAGACAGCAAGCGCUUUUGCCAAUAUAUCUUUGCCCUUCUCAUAGUUGAUGCUAUUCAGGGUGCGGAUCUUAUGGUUCAAGCUACCAGAAGAUAGUUGCUGGAUGAACUGGAGGCAAUGCUUCAUGUGGUAAGACUCACAGCCUCCGGGAAGUAAGGUUUCUUAAGAGCAGGAGCUAAUCGCCUGACAGCAUUAGUGAGGAUCGAAGUGCAGCAGGUGUGGCAGACGUUGUCCAAAUGUUUGGUCACGAGGAGAAGCCUGAUAUUGUUGCUAUUCAAGUGCGUUUGCGAGAGUCUGAGAGACCUGAUCAAGGCUGUUGUUAUAUAUGGAGCAGGCUUUCGUUGCCUCCAGAGGCCUCGGCUCUGAACCACUUCUGACUUUGUUUUUCCUCCAUUAUUAAGAUCUAAGGUAAUGAAGAUAAGUAGUAGUAAUAAUGUGCUAUUGCUCAAGCAAAAGGAGACCGUAUUUACGUGAUUUCACAUCCCUGAAGCACUAAAUUUGUGAAAUUGCUGAUCUAUUUCUUUGACUGGUGUCAUUCUCAAUGUUUUUUCUUUCCCUC